rnacentral:rRNA from 1 species
UACGAGGGGGGCAAAUGUUGUUCGGAAUCACUGGGCGUAAAGCGUGCGCAGGCGGUUUUGUAAGUCUGUCGUGAAAGCCCCGGGCUCAACCUGGGAAUUGCGAUGGAGACUGCAAGGCUUGAAUCUGGCAGAGGGGGGUAGAAUUCCACGUGUAGCAGUGAAAUGCGUAGAUAUCAGGAGGAAUACCGGUGGCGAAAGCGACUCUCUGGACGGCAACUGACGCUGAGGCACGAAAGCGUGGGGAGCAAACAGG